CUGUGACCGGUGAACCUAGAUUUUCAUGUGUUUCAAUUUCUAGGCGCCCAUCAUCCUUAUCCCUUCAUAUCUCUCUCUCACCUCGGUUUUUUUUUCUCCGCAGAAACACCUCUCCUCUUUCCUUUUCUUUCUGCAAUUUUACACAAACCGAGCUCCAAAUUCUUUCAGUCAGAUCACUUGAAAAGAAAAAUUCAAUUAAAAGUAAGUUUCUUGAAACCCUAAUUUGUUCCUGAGCUCUAGUAUGUUGUUUGGGUUUGAAGAUUCAACAUGAACAGGGUUUUAAAUUUCUUCUGAUUUUUGUCUGAAUUUAUUAUAAGACAAAUUAUCAUCCUCGCUUGGACUUCUCAACAUUUUCAGGGAGGUAUAAAUCCCCUGAAAAUUAUGUACCAGUUCACUAAGGUGUGAUAAACAAAAGGGUUCAUAUAAGAUGCAAUUCUACUAACUCUGUUGAAGAAAUAUGAUGUUUGGUCUUCAACUUUUUUGUUCCUUUUUAUUUAGGGGUUUUCUUGAAUUGAUGGAAGUUUCGCAUUAAUGUUUUCGCUACUAUUUUCUUUUUGAAUGAUUCAAAUCAGGAUCGAGAUAUCAAGAAGCUAUGGAAGGAUCCCGUGCUUGUGAUUUGUUGUAGUAUGGAGUGGGUAUUAAAGGUGGUGGUGGUGGUGGUGGAGCUGGGAAAGUGAUGGACGUCAGAGAGAAAAGCGAAAGACUAUUAAUGGAGAUGAUCUUUUAUGGGUAAUGGCUACUUUAGGAUUUGAGGAUUAUAUAGAUCCACUUAAGGUGUACCUCAAUAGGUACAUAGAGAUGGAGGGUGAUACAAAAGGAACUACUAAGGGUGCUGAUGGAUCUGGUAAUGCUUAACCAGGUCAAAACCCUCAGAUUGCUCACCAGGGAUCACUUUCAUAAGGAGGCUAUAUGAACUCUUACGUAGAUAUCAAUAUUCUAUUGAGUUCUUGGGAAAUCGUGGGAAUAUAUAUACUGCGAUCAUAUGACUAUCAUUUAUCUUUAUGUAGUCCGCAAAGAGAUGCGUGCAUAUGCGUGCUACUGGUGUGGGAAACAUGACUCUUUAUACUCUUGCAACCACCAGUUCCAUGAUCGUGGGCGUUCCAUUCUGACAUUAUAUGGGAAACUCACAUUUUUGUUGAUGAUGUCUCUAUCUAUAGCCUGGUAUGUUUUCCUCAUGCUUUUCUCAAUCACUACGCUAAUAACAACUGGUUUAUCAGUAGGAAGAACAAAACUGUUGAGUUCUUUUGGUUAUUCAUCUUGGGGCCUCUCUGCAAUCUUACCUGCAGUACCUGUUACUGUUCUUACGUUAGGAUUCCAUGUAUAACCCAUUCUGUAUCUUGUGCUCGAGAUAUGUCAAGGUCGUGAAUUAAUGAACUAGUUACGUUUGUGCCGUGGUGUCGAUGUUGGACAGAAGCAGGUAAAGAGAUUGACAUCAUAUUGGUUAGGAUACCCACCUUUAUAGAUCACUAUCCUAUCAUGUGAAUGGCAAUGGUUAUUGUUUUUAUAAGCAUUUUCUUGAGUAUUGUGACCCCCCACAUUAAUCAGUUGAUAGAUUUUUCUAUGCACGUACACCAUUAUGAAGUAGGAAUAAGUUCUUCAUCAUCAUCGGAGUUUAUAAUUUUGUUGUUUCAUCAAUAGUUUUUUAGUUCAUCGUUUUGUAAUCGAAUUCUAGAUCUACAGAUUUUAAUCCUUUGUGUAAUUUGAAACCAAUGAAUCAAUGAAUGUUAAAUUGAAUGAUUAUUUGUGUGCAAGUUUAAUUUGA